rnacentral:lncRNA from 1 species
CCUCACAAAAAAAACAUCAGAAACAACUGCCUUCAUCUAAAUAUACAUAUAAACAAACAACAUUGAUAAUUGUGAAAAAAGUAUAAUUAAUUGUAUAUUUGUUUCCUUUUGUCAAAAAAGUAAAUUCCUAGCAUAGGCAAAUUUAGUUAGCCUCCUAAUUUUGUUAGAGUUUCCUUUUCCACAGUAUAAAUAACAAUGUAUUCUUCAAUAAAAUUAUCAUUACACUCUUCCACAUAGUAUCAGAGCCGUAAAAAUAAUAUUCCAGAAACUUUUUCGGACUUAAUUGCCAACAAGGCAAAAACUCUAAACCAGCCUUCAUGCCGGAAACAUUACACCUCACCAGCUGAAAUUCAUUGCCGACACUCACUGCCGCUCCACAGUGCCCAGCUGCACCCAGCCACUCGACCCAGCAGCACCCAGCAUCCUGCCACGCAUGUCCUUAGGGAAACAACCCUCACCAGGCCCCUUGUCUCUCACUAACCAAAAAUUCAACUUGUUCAUGAGGUUGUUUGGUUGAUCUUGAUCAGGGUUUAUCAAAACAGGCUUAAUGGCUAUGGCACUUCCCUGUGUUACCUCUCUCAAUAGGCAAAACUUGACAACUCUGAUCAUGUUUGUUCCAGGGUACAGAAAUGAUGCCUUUAUCGGAUGAUUCUGCUUUCUCAAAUAUUCCUAUUACAAACGUAGGUAUCUAUAAGCUAAAAGAAUGUGAAAGAGACGAGACUCAUUGGUAUCGUCAUUGAUAACUAGAAACUUACCCUUUUCCUUCUCUAGUAUUUGGUUUUUAUAUAGAUCACCAUCUCUCUUCAGCAGGUGACACAAUUGAUGCUUCUCCUCAAUCUGCUUACUUAUCUGGUCUCCCUGUCAACAUUUCUUCUAUUUCUUCCUAUGAUGCUUGUUCCUGGCCGACCUCCUCAAAAGUUCCUUCUUCCUCUAUUCUAACAUAUCAAAGGACAAGGCUGUGGAUUCAACUUUCUCCUCG